UGAGAGUCUCUUUCAAGGCCAUUUUUUCUUCUUUUUCUUUUUCUUCUUUUUCUUCUUUUUCUUGUCUGCAAAUU
rnacentral:ribozyme from 16 species